rnacentral:rRNA from 1 species
UAGUCCACGCCGUAAACGAUGGUUACUAGCUGUUCGGACUUCGGUUCUGAGUGGCUAAGCGAAAAUGAUAAGUAACCCACCUGGGGAGUACGUUCGCAAGAAUGAAACUCAAAGGAAUUGACGGGGGCCCGCACAAGCGGUGGAGCAUGUGGUUUAAUUCGAUGAUACGCGAGGAACCUUACCAGGGCUUAAAUGUAGUCUGACAGCUUUAGAGAUAGAGUUUUCUUCGGGCAGAUUACAAGGUGCUGCAUGGUUGUCGUCAGCUCGUGCCGUGAGGUGUCAGGUUAAGUCCUAUAACGAGCGCAACCCCUGUUGUUAGUUGCCAGCGAGUCAAGUCGGGAACUCUAACAAGACUGCCAGUCGCAAACUGUAGAGGAGGGUGGGGAUGACGUCAAAUCAUCACGGCCCUUACGUCCUGGGCUACACACGUGCUACAAUGGUAGGGACAGAGAGCAGCCACUUCGCGAGAAGGAGCGAAUCUAUAAACCCUAUCACAGUUCGGAA